AUUGAACGCUGGCGGCAGGCCUAACACAUGCAAGUCGAACGGUAACAGGAGGAAGCUUGCUUCUUUGCUGACGAGUGGCGGACGGGUGAGUAAUGUCUAGGAAACUGCCUGAUGGAGGGGGAUAACUACUGGAAACGGUAGCUAAUACCGCAUAACGUCGCAAGACCAAAGAGGGGGACCUUCGGGCCUCUUGCCAUCGGAUGUGCCCAGAUGGGAUUAGCUGGUAGGUGGGGUAACGGCUCACCUAGGCGACGAUCCCUAGCUGGUCUGAGAGGAUGACCAGCCACACUGGAACUGAGACACGGUCCAGACUCCUACGGGAGGCAGCAGUGGGGAAUAUUGCACAAUGGGCGCAAGCCUGAUGCAGCCAUGCCGCGUGUAUGAAGAAGGCCUUCGGGUUGUAAAGUACUUUCAGCGGGGAGGAAGGGAGUAAAGUUAAUACCUUUGCUCAUUGACGUUACCCGCAGAAGAAGCACCGGCUAACUCCGUG
rnacentral:rRNA from 1 species